GAUGAACGCUGGCGGCGUGCCUAAUACAUGCAAGUAGAACGCUGAAGGAAGGAGCUUGCUCUUUCCGGAUGAGUUGCGAACGGGUGAGUAACGCGUAGGUAACCUGCCUGGUAGUGGGGGAUAACUAUUGGAAACGAUAGCUAAUACCGCAUAACAGUAGAUGUUGCAUGAUAUCUACUUAAAAGGUGCAAUUGCACCACUACCAGAUGGACCUGCGUUGUAUUAGCUAGUUGGUGAGGUAACGGCUCACCAAGGCGACGAUACAUAGCCGACCUGAGAGGGUGAUCGGCCACACUGGGACUGAGACACGGCCCAGACUCCUACGGGAGGCAGCAGUAGGGAAUCUUCGGCAAUGGACGGAAGUCUGACCGAGCAACGCCGCGUGAGUGAAGAAGGUUUUCGGAUCGUAAAGCUCUGUUGUAAGAGAAGAACGAGUGUGAGAGUGGAAAGUUCACACUGUGACGGUAUCUUACCAGAAAGGGACGGCUAACUACGUG
rnacentral:rRNA from 1 species